AUUGAACGCUAGCGGGAUGCUUUACACAUGCACGUAGAACGAGUGGCGGACGGGUGAGUAAUAAAUCGGAACGUGACCAGUAGCGGGGGAUAACUACGCGAAAGAGUGGCUAAUAACGCAUACUAUUGGAACGGCCGAUAUCGGAUUGGCUAGUUGGUGGGGUAAAGGCGCACCAAGGCAACGAUCCGUAGCUGGUUUGAGAGGACUACCAGCACCCCUUGGACUUAUACACGUCCCAGAAUCCGUCGUGCGGCAGCAGGGGGGAAUGUUGGACAAUGGGUGAAACCCGGAUCCAGCCAGCCCGCGUGUAUGAGAAGGCCUUCGGUUUGUAAAGUACUUUUUGCAGAGAAGCGGUAUCUGCAGAAUACGCACCGGCUAACUACGUGCCAGCAGCCGCGGUAAUUC
rnacentral:rRNA from 1 species